CUCACACAUUCCUUUAAAACUAACUUUGCUAAGUUUUUAAUUUACAGAUUGAUACAUCAGUUGUCAGAGAACUAGAUGAAACGCCUUGCACGCUACAUACCACUGUAUGGAGACAGGAUUGCUACAAGGCCGUACUGUCUGGACAAACAAAAACAAAAAGAAGAGAACUGCUCGAAGAUGUCCCUUCUUGAAAAACUGCGAAAGAAAAUGAGGACAACAAAAACAAGCCUUGAUGAGGAAACUACGGAGGAAAGUAGGCCAAUGAAAAAAGGAAGCAAGACAAGAAAUGCUACCAAGUCUUCAAGAAAAAUCGAGUUGUGGGGAUUCAUGAGGAAAAGCAAGUCAGAAAACGCUGUGGUGGGGGAACCAGAAUUCUUGAUAUAUCCAAGGACUCAACCAAGAAAGAUCUUAUGUCUCAUGCCAAGGAAAUAUUUUUUCCACAUGGCUUUCCACGUUAGUGCUUCAGACCAUAAGCCUGAUGCUCGGUGAGACGGAGAAAGGAGCUGCUCGCUUUAGCGCACUAACGUCCAAGCAGGGAAGCGUGACUGCAGACUUGCUCUUGGCUUUGGUGUGUGUGAUCCUGAGCUAAAGCCUUACAACUGCAAUUCUACAUCUCACACAGAGCUCCUGUUUAUGGUUUAUCAGGCCCAGCGUGUGGUUCUGGUUCUGUCAUUUCUGUCAGAGUCUCCCUUGAGCCCGUCUCAGGCUGUCCUCCUGUACCAGCGGUGCCACUUGCUCCUGACCUGCAUGCAGCACAACCCCUGUGUGAACACCUCCAUUAUUACAGAACUUAAAGAAGAGUUCAGGUAUUAUGUGAGACAGUCCGGUCUGGAGGACAAGCGUCCCCUUCACUGUCCCAUUAGUAGACCAGCACAGCAUCUCCUCUCCCA